GACGGAGGGUGCUAGCGUUGUUCGGAUUUACUGGGCGUAAAGGGCGCGUAGGCGGCCAGAUCAGUCGGGUGUGAAAGCCCGGGGCUCAACCCCGGAACGGCACCCGAGACGGUUUGGCUGGAGACCGGGAGAGGAGGGUGGAAUAGCCAGUGUAGAGGUGAAAUUCGUAGAUAUUGGGAAGAACACCGGUGGCGAAGGCGGCUCACUGGCUCGUUUCUGACGCUCAGGCGCGAUAGCGUGGGGAUCAAACAGG
rnacentral:rRNA from 1 species